GGCAGGGCUUGAGAAUCUGCCUUUUAACAAAUUCUCUAGGGAUGCAGAAGCUGCUGGAGCUGGGACCACACUCUCUGCCAUCACCAGAAUCCUUUCCUGAAAGGUACAACACUCAACGCUUCACCACGAUGGCCAGAGAGGGCAGUGUGCACCCACGGGAAAGGCAAAGGCAGAAACGCUGCAAAUCCCUUCACCAUUGGAGGAGGCGCUACCAGCCCCUACCCUAUCCAGCUCGAUUUUAUCAAGUUCUGCAGGUAAAGCGGUGUGACAGAUCUACGCGAUUUCAUCCGGGGGUGCUCUCGGAUGCACGGUCAGUAGCAUGCUGACAACCUUACCGUAGUGAGGGCGCAAUCCGACAACGGCAGAAAAUUCAGAUAAGCAACACGAUCAGAAAUCCUAGUGUGCAUACGGUUUAUCACGAAAGAGUAAAAACAUUCCUUUCCCAGGAAUGACUGUAAAAAUUAGGAGUUAGAGAUAUGAAAGCCACAGGAUGAAUUUCAGAGUUGUUUUCAAUUGUAAUAAAGAAAUCACUACGGAUUUACGGUUUGUGAAAUAUUCAUCAGCUAGAAAGUCCUAGGUUACCUUAGUACAAGCUGUAGAUACGUUUACAGUGGGGUAGUUAAACGUUUCGAA
rnacentral:lncRNA from 1 species